GAAUGAAUUAUUAACAUCCUUCCCUACUGUUCCUGGGCUUGAUGGGAAUGAACUCUGGAUCUUUCUGGCUGAACAGAAGAAAGGCAAUAGUCCAGGAGUAGAAACAGCAGCUUUACAACAGCAACUAAACAGCUUGUCCCAGCAGCCAUGGGUAAUUUGUUGGAGAGGAAGAAGAGGAGGAAGACUACUGAGUUUUCAACCAGAAAGGCUUGCCUACUGCUGUCUAAACUUUUUUGGAUAACCAAGGCAGUUAACUUGUCAGCUGUUACCUGCAGAUCAUUUUGUGGCCAAAGAGGCUGUUUUUCUUGCUGA
rnacentral:lncRNA from 1 species